AACCAAGGCAAUUCCCAAUGGAGAAGGAAUCCUCAGGGAAAUAGGAGAUAUGGAAACAGAAAUAACCAAUCUGCUUCCAAUAACUCCCAACAGUCUCAGCCAUCCCAACCAAAUUCUAAUGGGCAAAGACAAAACGGCAAUGGAGGAAAUAAUUUGCGUCGUCAGGUUGGUCAAUUGACUGACCAGAUGGGCAAAUUAAUGGAGGAAAUGACAAA
rnacentral:lncRNA from 1 species